rnacentral:rRNA from 1 species
UACGUAGGGUCCGAGCGUUGUCCGGAAUUACUGGGCGUAAAGAGCUCGUAGGUGGUUUGUCGCGUUGUUCGUGAAAACUCACAGCUUAACUGUGGGCGUGCGGGCGAUACGGGCAGACUAGAGUACUGCAGGGGAGACUGGAAUUCCUGGUGUAGCGGUGGAAUGCGCAGAUAUCAGGAGGAACACCGGUGGCGAAGGCGGGGUCUCUGGGCCGGCACUGACGCUGAGGAGCGAAAGCGUGGGGAGCAAACAGG